GACAGAGGCCUCAAGCGUUAGGCGGAAUCACUGGGCUUAAAUCGUGUGUAGGCGGAUGCCUAAGUACCUUGUGAAAUCCCACGGCUCAACCGUGGAACUGCUGGGUAUACUGGGUGUCUUGGGCCAUUCAGGGGCGACUGGAACAAGCGGUGGAGCGGUGAAAUGCGUAGAUAUCGCUUGGAACGCCGAAGGUGAAAACAGGUCGCUGGGGAUGUGCCGACGCUGAGACACGAAAGCCAGGGGAGCAAACGGG
rnacentral:rRNA from 1 species